ensembl:snRNA U6 U6 spliceosomal RNA
GUGCUUGCUUCAACAGCACAUAUACUAAAACUGGAGCAAUACAGAGAAGAAUUAGCAAGGUCCCUGCCAGGAUGACAUGCAAUUUAUGAAGCAUUCCAUAUAUUU